UACGGAGGGUGCAAGCGUUAUCCGGAUUCACUGGGUUUAAAGGGUGCGUAGGCGGCAGGUAAGUCCGUGGUGAAAUCUCUGAGCUUAACUCAGAAACUGCCAUGGAUACUAUUUGUCUUGAAUAUUGUGGAGGUUAGCGGAAUAUGUCAUGUAGCGGUGAAAUGCUUAGAUAUGACAUAGAACACCAAUUGCGAAGGCAGCUAACUACACAGUUAUUGACGCUGAGGCACGAAAGCGUGGGGAUCAAACAGG
rnacentral:rRNA from 1 species